rnacentral:rRNA from 2 species
UUAAUGGAGAGUUUGAUCCUGGCUCAGGACGAACGCUGGCGGCGUGCCUAAUACAUGCAAGUCGAGCGGAUCUUUAAAGGUGCUUGCACCUUUAAAGAUUAGCGGCGGACGGGUGAGUAACACGUAGGCAACCUGCCUGUAAGACUGGGAUAACAUCCGGAAACGGAUGCUAAUACCGGAUACGCGGUUCCCCCGCAUGAGGGGACCGGGAAAGACGGCGCAAGCUGUCACUUACAGAUGGGCCUGCGGCGCAUUAGCUAGUUGGUGGGGUAACGGCCUACCAAGGCGACGAUGCGUAGCCGACCUGAGAGGGUGAUCGGCCACACUGGG